rnacentral:tRNA from 1 species
GCGCUCGCGCGCCGUACCGGCCUUCGGCCUGGCGCUCCGCGAGGGCGCGGCACGAGCCGCGACGGCCGGUCGGCCUUGCGAGGCUCUGCCUCGAAACUGACUGCCAUCUGCGCUUGGGCUAAGGGCUUGUAGCUCAGUUGGUUAGAGCGCGCGCUUGAUAAGCGUGAGGUCGGAGGUUCAAGUCCUCCCAGGCCCACCAUCAACAGUGCAACCCGAAGGGUUGUCACUGCCGGUCGAUGCGAUCGGGAUACUAUCAGGGGCCGUAGCUCAGCUGGGAGAGCGCCUGCUUUGCAAGCAGGAUGUCGUCGGUUCGAUCCCGUCCGGCUCCACCAACACGCGAUCCGCAGGAUCGUCGUGUCGCGCAAUCCGCAGGAUUGUCGCUUCAGCCGCCGCGUUGCGGUUUGGCGAUAGCGCGAUCCGCAAGAUCGUGCUUGGGUGUAGAGAUGGUGAGAAAAGUCAUUCGAUAAAGAGUUUGCGUCGAGCUUCGUGCUCUGCGCCUGUUCUGUUUGACAUCGUAAAGAGAAGAUUUGUUCGAACUUCAUGGCUGCAAAGCUGUGAUUUGUCGCAAGGGACGCUCAAUCCCUUGCCUAUGAUGGGUUUGCCUAACCGCGCCCUCGAACGGAUCUCGAGAAGCUGGUCUUUUUGUGCCAAU